GAUGUAAAAAACAUGCACACUCCUGCAGAAAGCCCUGAGGACUGACACUGAACACCCCUGACCUCGAUGCUGUAGGGAAACUCCAUGGCAACAGUUGAGUCAUUUCCACAGGGAGCCGCUGACGCGAUGAUGCAAACACCCCGACAGCGUCGAUGACUUAAACAUGAAGCGACAGUGAUGAUGGGUGUGAGCUGUCAUUUUGUGCAGGGGCUCUCUCUGCUCAGCCACUGAACAGCAGGGAACCUGCAGCGGUGCCAGCUGAGUGGCUCAUAACGAACCGCAGCAGCUGGGUUCGCUCAUUAUCGGCCACAAGUAGGUGAACAGAGGUAAUUGCCCUCAGACUAAAUGGCUUGUGCGGCUCUUUUGGAAGCUGCAGAGGUGCCAACUUCUGAACCCGGCUGAGAGCUACACCGCAGUAAAAAAAAGAUUUGGACCCUUACAUUUUUUUCCUUAAUGUUUUAGAUGAUAAAACAUUAAGAUGGGAGAAUAUAUCUAAA